GAUCCUGGCUCAGAAUCAACGCUGGCGGCGUGCCUAACACAUGCAAGUCGCACGAGAAAGGGGAGCAAUCCCUGAGUAAAGUGGCGUACGGGUGAGUAACACGUGACUAACCUACCUUUUAGUGGGGAAUAACCUAGGGAAACCUGGGCUAAUACCGCAUAAUACCUACGGGUCAAAGCAGCAAUGCGCUGAAAGAGGGGGUCGCGGCAGAUUAGCUAGUUGGCGGGGUAAUGGCCCACCAAGGCAGUGAUCUGUAUCCGGCCUGAGAGGGCGCACGGACACACUGGAACUGAAACACGGUCCAGACUCCUACGGGAGGCAGCAG
rnacentral:rRNA from 1 species